GGCGUCGCUGGCGCAGUUGGUUAAGCACGCGCCCUUCGAAAGGGUGAAAUGCGGGUUCGAGUCCUGCACGACGUCG